rnacentral:rRNA from 1 species
CACGUAGGGGCGCGAGCGUUGUCCGGAAUUAUUGGGCGUAAAGAGCUCGUAGGCGGCCUGUUGCGUCCGCUGUGAAAGCCCGGGGCUUAACCCCGGGUCGGCAGUGGAUACGGGCAGGCUAGAGGUAGGUAGGGGAGAAUGGAAUUCCCGGUGUAGCGGUGAAAUGCGCAGAUAUCGGGAGGAACACCGGUGGCGAAGGCGGUUCUCUGGGCCUUACCUGACGCUGAGGAGCGAAAGCGUGGGGAGCGAACAGG